rnacentral:rRNA from 1 species
GACGAACGCUGGCGGCGUGCCUAACACAUGCAAGUCGAACGAAACCAACAGGGCGAGUGGCCCCCGGCUUAGGAGCGCGCGGGAACCGGACCUUAGGGUCAGAAUAACUGCACGACUGGGAUGCCAAUACCGAAGAGGCUCUACUGACCAAAGAUGUAUCGACCUUGGAUGGUAGCGCGUUGGAUUAGGUAGUUGUUAGGAUAAAAGCCUGCCAAGGCGAAGAUCCAUAUCUGGUCUGAGAGCAUGGUCACCCACACCGGGACUGGGCCACGGCACGGACUCGUACGGGAGGCAGCAGUGGGUAAUAUUGCAGAAGGGGGGAAAGCAUGAUCCAGUACUGCCGCGUGAGUGAUGAAAGCAUUGGGGUACUAAAGCUCUUUUACCUGGGAUGAUAAUGACGGUACCGGGAGAAUAAGCCCCGGCUAACUCCGUG